GCGUUUGGAUGAUUACAGAUCUUUAUUCUUAAUGUAGUUUUACCAUUCCUGCGGAUUUCACCGACAGUUCUUGCUAUAUUGACUCUGGAGGGGAAUUAAUCGUGUCCUAUAAUUUAUCUAUGAAUGCAUUCUGAUAUGGGAAUGUUAUCGCGUGCGUGGACCAAGAAAUUUGGCUGCUGAAAAUACAAUAUUGUAUUUUGACUAAACGAUUUAAAAUUCAAUUUAACGCUACUGAACAAAAUUCAAAGAUCCGAUCUUGUAAUAUUUAUGUAUAUAAUCGAUAUUAUAACCACCAGUAAUAUUCAAUAUAUCAGCCACCUCUAGAAAUAAUGUUUUUUUGUUUGUUUUGUUUUGUUUUUUUGCAUUUGAAGAGCGAGAUGUUCCAUUACUGGUUGUGUUUGUAAUAUGUAAUAUUUUUGUACUUAUCUGGAGUUAUUCAUUUUGCAGGAUCAGUGCAGAUUUGUUACUGGAGAUACAGUGUGGAAACAUAGACCAGUACUGAAGAGGUAACAAGCCAAAGGAAGAGGACAGCAGCUUUGCUGUGUCAGUCGUGCUAAAUACAGGAACAUUCUUCAUAAAGAUGUGCAAGAGAAGCUUGCAAGACAAAAGGAGGGAAACAAAUUAAAGUGUCAGUGAAGAUGGUGUGAUCAGGAAAUCUGGUGUUUGUAGGAAAUCUGAAGGAACAUCUCCUAGCAUUCUACUACGAUGUUGUCCUGAUGUCUGAGGCAAUU